AGUGAACGCUGGCGGUAGGCCUAACACAUGCAAGUCGAACGGCAGCACAGUAAGAGCUUGCUCUUACGGGUGGCGAGUGGCGGACGGGUGAGGAAUACAUCGGAAUCUACUUUUUCGUGGGGGAUAACGUAGGGAAACUUAUGCUAAUACCGCAUACGACCUACGGGUGAAAGCAGGGGAUCUUCGGACCUUGCGCGAUUGAAUGAGCCGAUGUCGGAUUAGCUAGUUGGCGGGGUAAAGGCCCACCAAGGCGACGAUCCGCAGCUGGACGGAGAGGAUGAUCGGCCACCCUGGAACUGAGACACGGUCCAGACUCCUACGGGAGGCAGCAGUGGGGAAUAUUGGACAAUGGGCGCAAGCCUGACCCAGCCAUACCGCGUGGGUGAAGAAGGCCUUCGGGUUGUAAAGCCCUUUUGUUGGGAAAGAAAAGCAGCAGGUUAAUACCCCGCUGUUCUGACGGUACCCAAAAAAUAAGCACCGGCUAACUUCGUG
rnacentral:rRNA from 1 species